AUCCUUUUAGUAUAUAAGUAUAUUUAACUUCCAAUUAAAAGGUUCAAAAUAUUGAAAAGGAUA
rnacentral:tRNA from 1 species